AGCACCUCUCACCUUGUCUCCCAUGUAGGAUUUUUUCCAACUCCCUUCUAACCCAAGCAGCACCACUACUGUGCUUCGGUCGUAUUGCCCACCUGCCAAUGGCAUUUGCGAUGCAGUUGGAGGAGCAGUGCUCCCUGAAACUGGGAGAGCUGUGCAUCAUUCCUGUUGACGUGAUGCCCCCACAUUGACAUGAUGCGUCCUCUGUUGAUGUGAUGCAGUCCCAUUGAUGUGAUGCCAUCCCGGUUGACAUAAUGCCCCCUCCAUUGACAUGAUGUUCUCCCUCUUGACUUGCUGCAUCCCCCAUUGACAUGGUGCCCAUCCCGUUGAUGUAAUAUGUCCCCCAUUGAUGUGAUGCCAUCCCCAUUGAUGUGAUAUGUCCCCCAUUGGCAUGAUGCCCCCCAUCCGCAACAUGCUGAACCUCAGAAAGGGCAAAAGUGAGCUCAGGCACUUGUCUCUGCUUGAUCUGUACCACGCAGACUCCUGCUCCAUUCGCCUUGUCUCACCACUGAUGAGGGUGUGGAUGAAGUCUACUUUGCAGAGGAGGCCCUUAGGUUUGAGCAGCUGGAGGAAGCUGAGAUAAGUGAUCUUGAAGGUGCUUUUGUACAGGUGGAAGAGGCGACAGCUGAAGCUGCUGAAACCGAUGCCGAAGUUUCAGAUCCUUGUCCUUUGCUUGAAGCAUCUAGGCGCCUAGCAUCAUGUCCAAGCGUACCCGAGACGUCGAGCUAGAUCGGCUGGUGCAUGACAAGCGGCCCGAUGGUGGGGACGCCUCCCCUCCGGGCUGCGGGGCACUAGAGCAGCUCCCCAAUGUCCCCAGCUACCGAGCCACUGCUGCCUCCCGAAUCCCUGUCCUUGUCGCCAGCAAGCCAAAGGCUGGAGUUGUCAACCCCAAUUUUUGCAAUGAGGAGCAAUCCCCCCUAGGCAAUUACCCCACUGUGGACAUCAGGGAUGUGGACAGCGGAGGCGAUGCUGUGGAGAGCAACGGUACCCACUUACCAGUGCCCACCGCCAGCAGUCCCAAAAUGCUGGCAGUGCCUGGCACGGUGCUGGCAUCCCCCAGGAGAAAGCUGCCGGCCCCGGAGGAUGGCCUGGAGGAGGGACUGGUGAACCAGUCCCCCACCCGAGCGCUGCUGGGCUGGGACGAGCAGCAGAGGGAAAGCCUGCCCGAGCGCAUCGGCUCAGCCACGAGCCUGAGCAGUGCCGUCAUCAACAACCGGCUCCAGGAGCUGGUGAAGCUCUUCAAAGAGAGGACCGAGAAGGUGAAGGAGAAGCUGACCGACCCUGAUGUCACCUCGGACGACGAGAGCCCUACAGCAUCCCCUGCUAAGCCGGCACCCGCGGCAGCACCUGUGCCUCCCCCAGGAGGGGAGCCGGAGGGGGACAAGCUGGCAGGGGACGAGCACUACUGUGAGAUGCUGUGCUGUGUGUUCAAGCACCGGCCCUGGAUGGACCGUUUGAAAAACUACCGGUUCCCCAGCAGCAUCGACCCACUCACCAACCUGAUGUAUGUUCUGUGGCUGUUCUUCGUUGUGAUGGCCUGGAACUGGAACUGCUGGUUGAUCCCCGUCCGCUGGGCUUUUCCGUACCAGACACCAUCAAACAUCCACUGCUGGCUGGCUGUGGACUACCUCUGCGACCUCAUCUAUCUGCUGGACAUCCUUGUCUUUCAGACCCGGUUGCAGUUUGUCCAGGGGGGAGACAUAAUAACUGAUAAAAAGGCCAUGAAAGAGAACUACCUGCGAUCACAGCGCUUUAAGAUGGAUGUGGUGUGCCUCCUGCCCCUGGAUUUCUUCUACUUCAAAGUCGGUGUCAACCCGCUCCUGCGCUUUCCUCGCUGUCUGAAGUACAUGGCCUUCUUCGAGUUCAACAACCGCCUGGAGGCUAUCCUGAGCAAGGCGUACAUCUACAGAGUGAUUCGGACUACUGCCUAUUUACUGUACAGCUUGCAUGUGAACUCCUGCCUCUACUACUGGGCAUCAGCCUAUGAGGGACUGGGCUCUACCACCUGGGUCUACGAUGGGGAAGGAAACAGCUACAUCCGCUGCUACUACUGGGCAGUCAAAACCCUCAUCACCAUUGGGGGCCUGCCGGACCCCAAGACACUGUUUGAGAUCAUCUUCCAGCUGCUGAACUACUUCACGGGCGUCUUUGCUUUCUCCGUCAUGAUAGGGCAGAUGAGAGAUGUGGUUGGCGCGGCUACAGCAGGGCAAACUUACUAUCGGAGCUGCAUGGACAGUACCAUUAAAUACAUGAACUUCUACAAAAUUCCCAAAACUGUUCAGAACCGGGUGAAAACGUGGUAUGAGUACACGUGGCAUUCGCAAGGCAUGCUAGAUGAGUCAGAGUUGCUGGUGCAGCUGCCGGACAAGAUGAGGCUGGACAUUGCCAUCGACGUGAACUACAACAUCGUGAGCAAAGUGGCCCUCUUCCAGGGCUGCGACAGGCAGAUGAUCUUCGACAUGUUGAAGCGGCUCAGAUCAGUAGUCUACCUGCCUAAUGACUACGUGUGUAAGAAGGGAGAAAUCGGCCGUGAAAUGUACAUUAUCCAAGCGGGACAAGUGCAGGUGCUGGGAGGACCCGACGGCAAAACUGUGCUAGUGACUCUGAAAGCCGGAUCCGUGUUUGGAGAAAUAAGGUGAGGAGCCAGGAAAAUAGGGCUGAGGGGCUCUGGGUGGGAAGUGGGGAGAUCAGCAACACCCUAAUUAAUCUUUGUGAUCGAAAGCCACGAACACUUAGCAGGGUCUGCUACCCAAAUUACAGUGUUUUUCUUGGAGCUUUCCCACUAUUUUCUGCCUGGGGAGUUAGUGACAGUGAGCA
ensembl:lncRNA